UAGGGAAUCUUACGCAAUGGACGAAAGUCUGACGGAGCAACGCCGCGUGAGUGAAGAAGGAUUUCGGUUCGUAAAACUCUGUUGUUAGGGAAGAAAAAAUGUAUAGUAACUAUAUACAAAAGAGACGGUACCUAACCAGAAAGCCACGGCUAACUACGUGCCAGCAGCCGCGGUAAUACGUAGGUGGCAAGCGUUGUCCGGAAUUAUUGGGCGUAAAGCGCGCGCAGGUGGUUUAGAAAGUCUGAUGUGAAAGCCCACGGCUCAACCGUGGAGGAUCAUUGGAAACUGAUAAACUUGAGUGCAGUAGAGAGAAGUGGAAUUCCUAGUGUAGCGGUGAAAUGCGUAGAGAUUAGGAGGAACACCGGUGGCGAAGGCGGCUUUUUGGCCUGCAACUGACACUGAGGCGCGAAAGCGUGGGGAGCAAACAGG
rnacentral:rRNA from 1 species